GACGAACGCUGGCGGCGUGCUUAACACAUGCAAGUCGAACGGAAAGGCCCUGCUUUUGUGGGGUGCUCGAGUGGCGAACGGGUGAGUAACACGUGAGUAACCUGCCCUUGACUUUGGGAUAACUUCAGGAAACUGGGGCUAAUACCGGAUAGGAGCUCCUGCUGCAUGGUGGGGGUUGGAAAGUUUCGGCGGUUGGGGAUGGACUCGCGGCUUAUCAGCUGGUUGGUGGGGUAGUGGCUUACCAAGGCUUUGACGGGUAGCCGGCCUGAGAGGGUGAACGGCCACAUUGGGCCUGAGAUAGGGACCAGACUCGUACGGGAGGCAGCAGUGGGGAAUAUUGCACAAUGGGCGGAAGUCUGAUGCAGCAACGCUGCGUGCGGGAUGACGGCCUUCGGGUUGUAAACCGCUUUCGCCUGUGACGAAGCGUGAGUGACGGUAAUGGGUAAAGAAGCACCGGCUAACUACGUG
rnacentral:rRNA from 1 species